rnacentral:rRNA from 1 species
CCUGCCGCUUACUCGGGGAUAGCCUUUCGAAAGAAAGAUUAAUACCCGAUGGUAUAAGGAGUUCNCAUGUUCUCUUUAUUAAAGAAUUUCGGUAAGCGAUGGGGAUGCGUUCCAUUAGAUAGUUGGCGGGGUAACGGCCCACCAAGUCUACGAUGGAUAGGGGUUCUGAGAGGAAGGUCCCCCACAUUGGAACUGAGACACGGUCCAAACUCCUACGGGAGGCAGCAGUGAGGAAUAUUGGUCAAUGGACGAGAGUCUGAACCAGCCAAGUAGCGUGAAGGAUGACUGCCCUAUGGGUUGUAAACUUCUUUUAUAAGGGAAUAAAGUGAGGGACGUGUCCCUUUUUGUAUGUACCUUAUGAAUAAGGAUCGGCUAACUCCGUGCCAGCAGCCGCGGUAAUACGGAGGAUCCAAGCGUUAUCCGGAUUUAUUGGGUUUAAAGGGAGCGUAGGUUGACAUAUAAGUCAGCUGUGAAAGUUUACGGCUCAACCGUGAGAUUGCAGUUGAUACUGUAUGUCUUGAGUGUACAAGAGGUGGGCGGAAUUCGUGGUGUAGCGGUGAAAUGCUUAGAUAUCACGAAGAACUCCGAUUG